CCCAGACUCCUACGGGAGGCAGCAGUGAGGAAUAUUGGUCAAUGGCCGGGAGGCUGAACCAGCCAAGUCGCGUGAGGGAAGACGGCCCUACGGGUUGUAAACCUCUUUUGUCAGGGAGCAAGGUGCAGGUCGGGACCUGCUGUGAGAGUACCUGAAGAAAAAGCAUCGGCUAACUCCGUGCCAGCAGCCGCGGUAAUACGGAGGAUGCGAGCGUUAUCCGGAUUUAUUGGGUUUAAAGGGUGCGUAGGCGGGCUUUUAAGUCAGCGGUAAAAAUUCGGGGCUCAACCCCGUCCGGCCGUUGAAACUGGGGGCCUUGAGUGGGCGAGAAGAAGGCGGAAUGCGUGGUGUAGCGGUGAAAUGCAUAGAUAUCACGCAGAACCCCGAUUGCGAAGGCAGCUUA
rnacentral:rRNA from 1 species